rnacentral:rRNA from 1 species
UCGGCUUAGAGUUUGAUCAUGGCUCAGGAUGAACGCUAGCGACAGGCCUAACACAUGCAAGUCGAGGGGCAGGUGUAGCAAUACAUUGCGACCGGCGCACGGGUGAGUAACACGUAUGCAACCUACCUACUACAGGGGGAUAGCCCGUUGAAAGACGGAUUAAUACCCCAUAAUACAGGUCCGCAUGGAUAUUUGUUAAAGAUUUAUCGGUAGUAGAUGGGCAUGCGCUUCAUUAGCUAGUUGGGGAGGUAACGGCUCACCAAGGCAACGAUGAAUAGGGGAACUGAGAGGUUUAUCCCCCACACUGGUACUGAGACACGGACCAGACUCCUACGGGAGGCAGCAGUGAGGAAUAUUGGUCAAUGGACGCAAGUCUGAACCAGCCAAGUCGCGUGAAGGAAGACUGCCCUCGGGUUGUAAACUUCUUUUGUACAGGAGUAAAGUGAUCUACGUGUAGAUUUUUGCAAGUACUGUACGAAUAAGCAUCGGCUAACUCCGUGCCAGCAGCCGCGGUAAUACGGAGGAUGCGAGCGUUAUCCGGAUUUAUUGGGUUUAAAGGGUGCGUAGGCGGGAUUUUAAGUCAGCGGUGAAAGUUUGAGGCUCAACCUUAAAAUUGCCGUUGAAACUGGGAUUCUUGAGUAUAUUUGAAGUAGCGGAAUUCGUGGUGUAGCGGUGAAAUGCAUAGAUAUCAUGAAGAACUCCAGUUGCGCAGCAGCUUACUAAACUAUACUGACGCUGAGGCACGAAAGCGUGGGUAUCAAAC